rnacentral:rRNA from 1 species
UACGGAGGGAGCUAGCGUUGUUCGGAAUUACUGGGCGUAAAGCGCGCGUAGGCGGCUUUGUAAGUUAGAGGUGAAAGCCCGGGGCUCAACUCCGGAACUGCCUUUAAGACUGCAUCGCUUGAAUCCAGGAGAGGUGAGUGGAAUUCCGAGUGUAGAGGUGAAAUUCGUAGAUAUUCGGAAGAACACCAGUGGCGAAGGCGGCUCACUGGACUGGUAUUGACGCGUGAGGUGCGAAAGCGUGGGGAGCAAACAGG